ACAAAACAAUGGGCUACAACUUACGUCUACUUUUGCAUGAACCCGCUAACCUGCCAUGUGAGGGGUAGAUUAAAGUCACCCAGGCCCCCAUCCUCCCGGCUGGAGGGUCGAUGAGGCCUGGAUGGGGAAGUGGAGAAAGCCGUGAAAGGUGCCAGGUGCCGCCCUAACCAACCCAAACACGGCCCUUUUGGGGCAGCUGCAGGAGGCCUGUGACGCAGUUUCCGGGACACCAGGAUUGGAUGCAGCUGAGCAAGCCUCACGCGCCCACCAGCUCACCUGGCCCCCAGCCCUCCCUCCAGGCUGCCUCCCCGCUAGGCAGACCGGGAAGGCCCAGUCUUCGAAGGCUCUGCCGCCAUCGCUGUCUUCUUCUUCUGGAACAACCGCCGAGUGCUAGUCCCGGCAGCCCUCGCGGCAGCAACCAAUCAUUGGAGGCCAGCACCUGCAGCUAGCCAAACAGUGGGCCGGGAGGUUAAAGCCCGCCCCCAAGCUUGCUCCUGAUAGGGCUGGGGCUGUUUUCCGUUAUCCUGGGAGGUACCACUCCUAGAAGGGGCGCCUUGUGGCCGUUAAGGGCAGUUCACUUUUACAUUCUACCCAAAGAGUCACCACUUUAGCGCCUUUAAUCAUCACAAAUUAAAAUGUCGCAUAUUAUUA